rnacentral:rRNA from 1 species
UAGGGAAUAUUGGACAAUGGGGGCAACCCUGAUCCAGCCAUGCCGCGUGAGUGAAGAAGGCCCUCGGGUUGUAAAGCUCUUUUGUCCGGAAAGAAAAGCAUUCGGUGAAUACCCGGAUGUUCUGACGGUACCGGAAGAAUAAGCACCGGCUAACUUCGUGCCAGCAGCCGCGGUAAUACGAAGGGUGCAAGCGUUACUCGGAAUUACUGGGCGUAAAGCGUGCGUAGGUGGUUGUUUAAGUCUGAUGUGAAAGCCCUGGGCUCAACCUGGGAAUGGCGUUGGAAACUGGGCAGCUAGAGUGCGGUAGAGGGUAGUGGAAUUCCCGGUGUAGCAGUGAAAUGCGUAGAGAUCGGGAGGAACAUCUGUGGCGAAGGCGACUGCCUGGACCAGCACUGACACUGAGGCACGAAAGCGUGGGGAGCAAACA